UCAGGUGGCUAUAGCGGCGGUGUUCCACCUCUUCCCAUUCCGAACAGAGAAGUUAAGCCCGCCCACGCCGAUGGUACUGCCGACAAAGUGGGAGAGUAGGUAGCCGCCUUUU
rnacentral:rRNA from 1 species